rnacentral:rRNA from 1 species
CGCGUAGGCGGCUCGAAAAGUCCCGCGUGAAAGCCCCCGGCUCAACUGGGGAACUGCGCGGGAAACUGUCGGACUUGAGUUCGGGAGAGGGAAGCGGAAUUCCGGGUGUAGCGGUGAAAUGCGUAGAUAUCCGGAGGAACACCGGUGGCGAAGGCGGCUUCCUGGACCGACACUGACGCUGAGGCGCGAAAGCUAGGGGAGCAAACG